GUUGGUAUAGUUCAAUGAUAGAAUUUCUGCUUUUCAUGUAGAAGAUCUGGAUUCCAUUCCUAGCCAAUG
rnacentral:tRNA from 1 species